AUUGAACGCUGGCGGCAUGCCUUACACAUGCAAGUCGAACGGCAGCACGGGAGCUUGCUCCUGGUGGCGAGUGGCGAACGGGUGAGUAAUACAUCGGAACGUACCCUGAAGUGGGGGAUAACGUAGCGAAAGUUACGCUAAUACCGCAUAUUCUGUGAGCAGGAAAGAGGGGGAUCGCAAGACCUCUUGCUUUAGGAGCGGCCGAUGUCGGAUUAGCUAGUUGGUGAGGUAAAGGCCUACCAAGGCGACGAUCCGUAGCGGGUCUGAGAGGAUGAUCCGCCACACUGGGACUGAGACACGGCCCAGACUCCUACGGGAGGCAGCAGUGGGGAAUUUUGGACAAUGGGCGGAAGCCUGAUCCAGCCAUGCCGCGUGAGUGAAGAAGGCCUCGGUGUAAG
rnacentral:rRNA from 1 species